UGUGUACUCCCUUCGUUCCAAAAUACUUGACUUCCAUUUGUCCAAAAAUGGAUGUACCUAUAUACUAAAACAUGUCUAGAUACAUAUAUAUUUUGACAAAUAGAAGGCAUGUAUUGUGAACGAAGGGAGUAGAAU
rfam:Triticum aestivum genome assembly, contig: Triticum_aestivum_CS42_TGACv1_scaffold_030499_1BL